rnacentral:lncRNA from 1 species
ACCACUCAAAUGAUUGAUGCUGCGGCGCAUAGUUGAUUCUAAAAACAUGAAUAGUAUAUAGAUUUACAUAUGCGGAUCUAUAAGACAAGGAGAUGGCAAUAGGUGCCUCCGACAACCAAGUUGUGGUUGCCUUGCCGUAACGAUGACCAAGUUGCGGUCGCCUGGCCGCAACAAACCUCCCUGGCACUGGCACCAAAUGGACGAUGGCAAUCAUGGGAACAUCAAUCUCAAUGACAACUGCACUCGCAUCUUUGUUGACUCCAGCGAGUCCUUAUGGAUGGAUUCUCCAUGGGUGCUCGAAACCUUGAUGAGCCGCUGGCUGCGGGGUGCAGACGUGCUGAUUUCCUUGUGGGUUGCUACCUUGCUGCCAUAGUACGCAGUGGCCGAGCAACCAGAAAAAUGUUGGGUAGGCCAUGGCCCUUUCAGCCUUGCAUCAAGGGAUGGCAUGUGUUUUCCUCCAAUAUUCUAGGUUGCUUGAUCGGUAGACUGGUUUUACAUUUCUGAAUCAUAAGUCUUGAGUAAUUAGGGCCCAAACAGGAGUACUUAUACAAUGGCCACACAUGAACUUCUCACUAUACAUCAUGCUAUUUUACAUUUUGACAUUCAACUACUCUUGUCAUGAAGUUUUUGCUUUCUUUUCUCUUCCAAUUUGUUGAAACAUGAAACAAACACAUGGACAUAGAAUGAUAAACAUGAUUUUUGGUAUGUACAUGCAUGAUCGAAGAGAUGUUCAAACAAUCUUUGAACGACUCUCUCAACACUUAUCACAAGAUUAGCUAACAAAAACUAUAUAUACAGCCCCUACACAUACUACCUACCUUGAGAAUUAGGAUGUCAAAGGUCCAUUGUUUAUGAGACUAGAUAUGUUUUCCUCCAUAUUACUUGCAAUCUAUGGAAUACUUUCUUCAUGAAGGUACUCAAAAUCUAGAAGAGCCACACCGCCGGAAACAAGAAAGUUAGACAAUAGUUUCGUACUAUAAAUUAUUGGUGUUGUGAGUCUAACAUAAUUCUAUGUCAUUUAAAAAAGAUUCGACCCACGUCGCUGUUGUAAUAGAACCAUUGACAACCGUUGGUUCGAGGAAAAGAUUCAACAGUGAUUAAGACGGGUCGUUCAUUCAUAGAGAGUCAACAGUGACAAUUGUCAUAUACUAAUUUUCAACCAGGCCAGAGUGUUCUUCCGCAUGUCACCAGCACUGCCCCUAUGGUCAUGUGAUCCAAAUUAUGGAUUUUAUCUAUCAAGAUGAUGCGAUUACGAAACUCUCAUGGAUUCUAGUUAUCAAUUGUCAUACCUGAUGCAUUUGUUUUAUACGAGAAUGUGGUCUUGUAUGUGAUCAAAUUCUCUUGGCUUUUAUUCUUGACGGUCGCUGUUAGUACGACAGUGUCUGCUUGCAGCAUGUUCUGUUAUUAUUCAGUUCUGUGUUUAUGUAGAGCUAAUUUAGAAGCCUUCAGUUCCCCACCCUUGCCCCUUUUCCUUGGACUCUAUGGGACUCAGGGUCAUUUUCCUAUGCGAGCUUUAAACCUGACUAACACGAUUCGGAACUUGCUUGACUAUUCCUAAGCUAAUUCCUACACGAACAGGAACUAACCCAGCCUAAACUAGUACGAACCUUGGACACCUCCUCCUACUACUACUAGUAGGACAUGGACAUGUAAGUUUGUACUAAUCAAACUAGCUACGAAACUAACACAAAUCAAUUACAACUUUGGAUUAUUUCCAGCACUCUGAUCCAUUACCAGGUAGUAUUGAAUAAGUGUUAAAACUAACGGGAUAUUUUUUGCUCUGGAGUCUGGACGUCCUUGAACUCCUCACCAUUCUUGAUGCAAUUGAAGUUCAACUACUCACGUCAUGAUUUUUUCACCAUUCUUCUUUCUUUUCCUUUUGCAAUACGAAAUAAAGAAUGGCAGCAGAAUGGUCACAUGAUUUGUGCGGUGUGCACUCCAAUGAUAAAACAAUUUUUGAAUGACUUGUUCAACACUAUCUGCAUGUUUAGCUGAGAAAAAAAAACUCUACAUAGACCUGCUAUACAUACUCACCUACCUUGUGAACAAGGUUGUCAAAAGUCUAUUAACGUAUGAGUUUGGAUUGGUUUUCCUCCAUAUUUAGUUUUAGUCCGUGGAAUACUCUGAAAUACUGGAGGAAAACAAAAGAUCAUGGUAAGCACAUACUACAUUUCAUGCGGCCCCAAGAUAGGUGGAAGAUACUCGAAUUGACAUGUACCUAUAGCUGCACUUGAGCAAUGUGCUCGAGCAGAGCCAUCCCUCCCUCUAGUCAAGCAAUUUGACCCACCUAGCGUAUCCAUCUGAGCUUAGGGCGGUAAACAUCUAGUGUCAACACCGCCUGCUAUGACAUGGCCGUGCACGAGGUGAAGAUUGGGAGCACGGCACGCCUCUGCUCAGCCAGGCCGGCGACGUUAUCGGUGUCUUGCAUGGAAGAUUCGGCGAGUACCACUGCCGCUUCAUAGCGGCUCAACACCUCCAGUCCUCUCUUGCAUGGUAGCUUCCGCGAGUACCACCUGUUGGGAUAUCCUCUUAAUGUAGGCUGUAAGGAGAUGACCAUUUGAAGCCUUUUAGGCAGUCCAAAAGAGGUGCAGAAUCCCCCUAACUAUUAGGGUUAUGACCUAGAGUCAUCUUGUUCUUUAGACGUGAGUGCGUGGGAUGCUUUUACCCUCCAUCCAGCAGACACCAAAUAGUGUGACGAAAAUCAGUUCAGCCUCCAUUGGAUAAGAAGAGAGAAAAUCAAGUGAGAAACGGAAGAAGAGAAAGAUUGAAGGAAGAAGCAAAGGGAGCUCCUCCCCAAGGUUGUGAUGAUCCAGAUCCACUACCUUGUCUCCUUCAAGUUGCGGUUCCACCAUCUUUGGUGAGAUUGUUCUAAUCCCUAGCUCUUGCGCCUCGAAUCUUGUUGUGUUCAUCCAAGAUUCAUAAAUCUUGAUGUAUGAGAUCCUCUAGUGCUAUUUAGAGAAGAAACUUGUUGUAACCCACAUUUGAUGAUAGUGGAAGAGGAUUUCCCCCUCAAGUUGAGUGGUUUUCCACGUAAACUCUGGUGUCUAUUUUGUUGAUGCUUGUUGCUGUCCAGAAAGUUACUCCUGCCACAAGACACUUGUGUGAGGAGCUUCUUGUGUGAUGAGUAACAUUUUCUCCUCCCUAUAUGCUAUUGCAUAUGUUUCCUUCCGGGCUAAGCAAUGAUCCUUGAGUUACUACAUGAUCUGGUGCUGAGAUUACUUUGUUUCCGUUACAAUUUUGAGUUAACCACAAGUGCAUUUGCAUGCUAAUUCCCAACAGAGUGGCAUGAGAGCCUUGGUUUCUUAGAAGGCUGCUAAUCCUAGUUGCCUGAUUGUUGUUGGAAGUGUUGCUCACAAUUGCUUUGGAAGAAAGCGCUACUAUAAGUGGCAUGAUAAAACUUGAUUCUUCCAAUUACUCAUUAUGGAAUCCCAUGAUGGAAGACAUUCAUUAUUGCAAGGAUUUGUAUGAGCCAAUUAUGAAAGACAAGAUACCCACAUGAGUCACGGAAGAAGAAUGGAGAAUGCUGCAUAGAAAGGCAGUAGGUAUGAUUCAGUUGUACAUCAACCACAAUUUAUUUCACCAUGUUGCAAAUCACACAAAUGCCUAUGAGAUGUGGAAUAAGUUGCAGUCUAUGUAUGAGAGGAAGACAUCAAUAAACAAGGCAUCGGUGAUCAAAAUACUUGCAAAGCUUGAGUACCGAGAUGACGCAAGUGUGAUUGAGCACUUUAAUGUCUUCCAAUGCCAAAUAAAUCAACUUUCAGCCUUGAAGAUCAACUUUGAGGAUGAGGUGCAAGCAUUGUUGUUGCUGAGUUCCAUGCCUGAUAGUUCGAACACGCUUGUUCCAAUCCAUGGAAUUACCGGAAACACCCAUGCCCCCUGACCGGGUGAGUGGGAUUAUUGCAGGCCAUGGAACCUUCAUCCGACCCCUCUACUUUGUGUGUGCAUGGAAAUAGGUUUGCAACCUACUAAACUGUAUUCCCUUCUGGGAAAUAAUGAGGCAGCAAAGAAAAAUAUAUGGUGAUACGCUGACAAGACUCGAUCUAUGACGAUACUGGAGUUACUAAGUUUGUUAUGGUAUUGGCUUGCUCCGACAUGACCAGGCUACAACAUAUAACGUCCCGCGUGACUAGAUCGUCAAAACAUUUCUGCCACUUCACAUGUGACAGAUAAUCCAUGCAUGAAAUCAUAUCAACACGUCAUGCCACCAUGUCUACAUGAAGUCAUUUUUACCUAGCAAACGUGAAAGAAAACACCAUAUCAAAGGUUCAAACAUGCUUGCCUGGAUCAACGAAGUCGAAAG